rnacentral:sRNA from 1 species
AUUUCCUCAUGGUUGUGAUUCCUCUUCACUCUUUUGAAUUUGGAAGGAUGGCAUACACAUCUGAAAAAUACCACUACUUCCUUCAUUGGACGGCAAGGUAUUUCUGUUUGGAAAAGUAAUGGAGUCCAGUCAACUUCAUUGAUCUCCAAGGACUGUCAAAAUUAUAAAACUUGCUGUGGAGCUCUGACAUGCCAGAAGCCGCUAGAAAAAGAAGUUUGACAUUCAGAAACUUAUCAAGAGGUUCUACUCUUUGGAUAGAGACCAAAAUCAUACUUUGAAGGGAUUGCAGUGGCAAAGCUAGGCUAGGUCUUGGAGGCUGGUGUAAGGCGAUGCGGGUGAAGGCAGGAGGCUGAUGGAGAGACUGGGGGGAAGAAAAGCCGAAAUGGAUUCACGGUGCCUUGGAUGAAGGACGAGAGGGGAACUGCAAGCUCCUUCAACUGGUUCUGUCCGGUGAGAAGUGAUCAAG